AUUGAACGCUGGCGGCACGCCUAACACAUGCAAGUCGAGCGGCAGCGCGAUAUGUAGCAAUACAUAUUGGCGGCGAGCGGCGGACGGGUGAGGAACACGUAGGAACCUACCCUCGAGUGGGGGAUAACCAAGGGAAACUUUGGCUAAUACCGCAUGAUGUCGAGAGAGCAAAGCUGCCGCAAGGUGGCGCUCGAGGAGGGGCCGGCGUCCGAUUAGCUAGUUGGUGAGGUAAGAGCUAACCAAGGCGAUGAUCGGUAACUGGUCUGAGAGGACGACCAGUCACACUGGGACUGAGACACGGCCCAGACUCCUACGGGAGGCAGCAGUGGGGAAUAUUGGACAAUGGGGGCAACCCUGAUCCAGCGAUGCCGCGUGAGUGAAGAAGGCCUUCGGGUCGUAAAGCUCUUUAGGUUGGGAAGAAGAGUGAUGGAGGAAAUGCUAUCACUUUGACGGUACCGACAGAAUAAGCACCGGCAAACUCUGUGCCAGCCGCCGCCGUAACAC
rnacentral:rRNA from 1 species